AAUAGAUCCCAUCAAAUACUAAAAGGUGACCUGUGGAGUUGAAGACAGUAUUUUGAUCAACAGUUUGUGCAUAUAUGUUGCAAAGUUUGGACAGCCAUGCGUAUUGUUAGUAUUCUGUCUGUCUCUACAUGGACAUGCUCACAUGAACAACAACAAAGAACCCAAGCUAAAUGUUCCUUUGCAACAAUUUAAACAUUAUUAAUGUGAAGAAGACUGUCAGCAUAUCAAUACCCCUGUCUGCAACAGAAGCUGAUUCUUCAGAUGGCAGCAGAGGACCAGUCUGACAAAAAGGAGUCUGAUGUGGAAAUGCAUAUCAAGCAAAGGUGCAUCACUGAAUUCCUCCACGCAGAAAAAAAUUGCAUCCAGUAAUGCUUGCUGAAUGUUUAUGGAGACCAAACAGUGCAUGUCAGCACGAUAGCACUGUCUCUCUAUGCUUAGGGAGAGGCCUGUCCCGUACAUCCCGU
ensembl:lncRNA